rnacentral:misc_RNA from 1 species
UUUCCGUAGGUGAACCUGCGGAAGGAUCAUUAUUGAAAAAUAUAUAACUUUUUUAUAUAUAUUCUUUUAUAUAUAUAACAAAAACACCUGGUGCUUGUGAAACCUUUUUGUGCUGUUUUAUAAAAAGAAAAAAUGGUGAAAUGACAAUAUAUUGUUUGCUUACACAAAUAUAUAAUUGUCUUUGAGUCAUAUUUUUUCUUUUUUAAAAAACUAUUCAAAACAACAUUUAACCAAACUUAUUUAGUCGGAAAAUUCGUAGUUUAUAUAAAAAAAUAACAACUUUUAACAACGGAUCUCUAGGCUCUU